UCUACUCUUACUCUUCCUUUGUUGAACCUCAAUAUAUUUUCUUACUAUUCCCUUUAAUUUUAUUCUAUUUUCCAAUCUUCGCUAUACUUGAUUUUUCCUAGAAUUACUGUUCAAAAGCUUGCACUUGAUUUGAAUAUUGUUCUUAACCUCAAUUGAUUGAAUCUGUUCAUCUUCCUUCCGUUCCCAGUAAUAAGAAAUGUAGUGAGGAAGAUAUAUAACAGUCAAAAUUCAUUUCGGUGUAAGGUGAAUGUGAUAAAUAAAUCCGGGAACCCGUAAUGUUUACAUAUGGCCAUAGCAUCAUAAUAGCUUUGCACCAUAUACCGUGGUCCUCCAGUGAACGAUGAGGGAAUGCGUGAAGGAACAGGCUUGGGUGUGAAUGGAGAUUGAUGGAGAUUUUGGUUUGCAUAGGUUGUUUGAAUUCAGGCGGCAUUGGCUCUGCACUUGCUAAUUUCUUCUUCAUUGACUUUGUCUGCAGAGAGAUUAACUUUACAGCAAUAAAACCAAUUUGGUAGAAAUAUGCGCAUAUCAUACGACAUUCCUUAGAGUAAGAGCGCAUCAUCAUAACUUGUCUCUUCCUUGGGGUUUUUGGCCUCUGUAGUUGCAAGCUCAUCAAAAUUAAGACUUGCAGAUUUCAAACAUUCCUUGUCAGCUUCAACUGCAUCCAAGUCUAUUACCGAAGUACACAUCUUCUUCGAUGUGGAAGCUUGUUCAGACAACUCAGAGUUAUGUGGAUAUACUCUUUUUGAUGAUGGAGUUGAGGAGUCUGUUGUGUCGUCAGUGUAUGUCAACAUAAGCUAAGUCAUGAAACAAAAAUAAAUGUGAGAUGAUGGUAAACAUUGUAGUUGCUCUACUUGUUAUUUGAUGUGUCUAUAUUACCUGAUCACCAGACACAAUGCUAGCUGGAUCUACAUGUUCCAAAGAUGCCUCAGAAGCAGCUUCUGGUAAGAGUCCAUUCUUACAAAGGACCUUUGAAACACGGUAAGCGUCUUUUCCGUCGAAAAUGUUUUCUGAAGCCACAUUCACGAGAAAGAGAAAUGUUUUCCCAACAAUGUUUUUCAGUUGAUCGGGGAGGUCUUCUGGGUUCUCAAUCUACAAGUGGGUUAUAUAGUUUUAUUUACAUUAUACUACAGUCUUAUAUUAUUAUUAGCGACUUCAAACUAACAUUACCUCUUGAAGUGAUCCACCUAGUACAGCUGUUGCCGACUCACCAAUAACAUCAUGAGCAAUGCUAUCAAAGAGUAGGCAUUUAGUUUCACCAGUGGCAUCCAUCACCUUGGCAUAGAGCAUGUACCUGACAUAAACAAACUAAUGUUGAGAAGAAUGUAAUACUAAUAAACCAUGACAUAUAAGUAGAAAAAUUUGGAAGGUUAUGCUUAAUUACUUUGGAGCAACGUUAGUAACAACUGACUUGCAAUUGUCACACCAGAAUUUUGGUUUUGACUCCUUCGAAUUGACACUAUUACCUCCAGUGUGGAUUGGAGUAACUUUUUUAUUGCAGUUACGGUGUUCAAAGUAGUACCAAGACCAAUCCGUAUCAACAGCAUAAAUUGUACAAAGUAGUCUCGCCUUACCCACCUGCAAAUCCGAAGAUAAAUUAACUGUUUGAGAAUACAACCCUCCUCUCUUCUAUAUUAUAUCCUUACUUUAAAGUAUCCAUUAGAUUACAUUACCUCAAAAGAGCCCACAAUCUCUGCUAUUGUUUUCCUUGGAUGUUCAAGACAUCCAUCAUCUCUCUUGACACUUUGAAGUUGUAAACGUUUGUGAUUCUGACGGAUGGUAAGGAUUUUAAUUUUGGCAAACCUUAGCAAGCAAACAACCAUGUUGCCAUCGGCUUCAACACAAGCUCUGUACAUUCGUUCUGCAAAUGAUCCCCAUAAGGAAAUUAUUGUUACCAAUCAACAUGCAACUAUUGUGAUCGCCACUCUGAAUGCUUUCGAACUUAGCCAACGUUAAGUAGUUUGAGUCUGAGACAGGGGCACAUGUUGUUACGACGGUGCCAUUAAUGAAAGCCAUCUUGUAGAGGUGACUUGUUGUUCGGAACUGACCAAAAGCAUGAGUCAAUUGGAAAUUCUCAAUGAAUUUCCAAUCUCCAAUAUCAAGGUUAUUGACGUAACGGUUUACCAAAUCCUUCUUAACCGUUGCAUGGAUCUUAGCACCCUGAGACAUAAUAGCAAUACAUAUUAGCUACAAAAUCGGAUUAUAUUGUCAAAUUCACAAUAGUGUAUGAUAUUGACCUGGUCAUCAGCAAAAAUACAUUCAAGAGUCUCUCCAGUUAUGUUGGUGUACUGUCUCCACGAAUGUAGAACCUUAACUUGGACUCUCCAAGCUGUCUUGUACGGACGAACGUCUCUUAAGUAUGCAAAUGAAGCAGACAUAUUAUUAGAA